UACGGAGGGGGCGAGCGUCGUUCGGAAUUAUUGGGCGUAAAGAGUAUGUAGGCGGUCAAGUAAGUCAGGCGUGUAAGCCCUCGGCUCAACCGAGGAAUUGCGUUUGAAACUGCUCGACUUGAGUACGAAAGAGGAAAGCGGAAUUCCCAGUGUAGCGGUGAAAUGCAUUGAUAUUGGGAAGAACAUCGGUGGCGAAGGCGGCUUUCUGGUUCGAUACUGACGCUGAGGUACGAAAGUGUGGGGAGCAAACAGG
rnacentral:rRNA from 1 species